AUUGAACGCUGGCGGCAGGCCUAACACACGCAAGUCGAGCGGGGUUUUCGGACCUAGCGGCGGACGGGUGAGUAAUGCGUAGGAAGCUGCCCGAUAGAGGGGGAUACCAGUUGGAAACGACUGUUAAUACCGCAUAAUGUCUACGGACCAAAGUGUGGGACCUUCGGGCCACAUGCUAUCGGAUGCGCCUACGUGGGAUUAGCUAGUUGGUGAGGUAAUGGCUCACCAAGGCGACGAUCUCUAGCUGGUUUGAGAGGAUGAUCAGCCACACUGGAACUGAGACACGGUCCAGACUCCUACGGGAGGCAGCAGUGGGGAAUAUUGGACAAUGGGCGCAAGCCUGAUCCAGCCAUGCCGCGUGUGUGAAGAAGGCCUUCGGGUUGUAAAGCACUUUCAGCGAGGAGGAAGGGUGGUGUGUUAAUAGCACAUCAUUUUGACGUUACUCGCAGAAGAAGCACCGGCUAACUCUGUGCCAGCAGCCGCUGUAAAAC
rnacentral:rRNA from 1 species